GUGGGGAAUAUUGGACAAUGGGCGAAAGCCUGAUCCAGCCAUGCCGCGUGAGUGAUGAAGGCCUUAGGAUUGUAAAAUUCUUUCACCGGGGACGAUAAUGACGGUACCCGGAGAAGAAGCCCCGGCUAACUUCGUGCCAGCAGCCGCGGUAAUACGAAGGGGGCUAGCGUUGUUCGGAAUUACUGGGCGUAAAGCGCACGUAGGCGGACAUUUAAGUCAGGGGUGAAAUCCAGGAGCUCAACUCCGGAACUGUCUUUGAUACUGGGUGUCUGGAGUAUGGAAGAGGUGAGUGGAAUUCCGAGUGUAGAGGUGAAAUUCGUAGAUAUUCGGAGGAACACCAGUGGCGAAGGCGGCUCACUGGUCCAUUACUGACGCUGAGGUGCGAAAGCGUGGGGAGCAAACAGGAUUAGAAACCCCUGUAGUCC
rnacentral:rRNA from 1 species